GGGUCAAUGAUGACACCAAAAGUUGGCUUGAAGACAGAUAAUGACAUAAAAAUCAUGCCCAAUAGAAUUAUGCUGAGGCAC